rnacentral:tRNA from 1 species
GCCGGAAUACUCAAGUGGUCAACGAGGUGUGACUGUAAAUCACAUGCCUUAUGGCUUCGUAGGUUCGAAUCCUGCUUCCGGCA